rnacentral:rRNA from 1 species
AUACAAUAAAUAUUAGUUAAUAUUAUUGGUUUUUAAAGUUUAUUUUUGUUUUUGAAUUUAAUUUAUUUAUUUUGAGGUGAAAUUUAAAUUUUUAUUAAUUUUUAUAUUAGAUUCUUUGAAAUAUAAAAUAAAAACUAGGAUUAGAUACCCUAUUAUUUUAUGUGUUAAUUUUAACCAGGGUAAUAAUAGAUAUGUUCUUUAAACCUAAAGAAUUUGGCGGUGUUUUAGUCUAUUCAGAGGAAUUUGCCCUAUAAUCGAUAGUCCCCGUUUAAUCUUUCUUUUAUUUGUGUUCAGUAUGUAUACCGCCGUUAUAAGUUUAUUUUAUUAGAUUUAAUUUACUUAUUUUUUAAUUUUAAUAUAUUUC